UACAGAGGUGGCAAGCGUUGUUCGGAAUUACUGGGCGUAAAGGGCGCGUAGGCGGCCUUCUAAGUCAGACGUGAAAUCCCCCGGCUUAACCUGGGAACUGCGUCUGAUACUGGAUGGCUUGAAUCCGGGAGAGGGAUGCGGAAUUCCAGGUGUAGCGGUGAAAUGCGUAGAUAUCUGGAGGAACACCGGUGGCGAAGGCGGCAUCCUGGACCGGCAUUGACGCUGAGGAGCGAAAGCGUGGGGAGCGAACAGG
rnacentral:rRNA from 1 species